rnacentral:rRNA from 1 species
GACGUAGGGCGCGAGCGUUGUCCGGAUUUAUUGGGCGUAAAGAGCUCGUAGGCGGCUUGUUGCGUCGACCGUGAAAACCCGGGGCUCAACUUCGGGCUUGCGGUCGAUACGGGCGGGCUAGAGUUCGGUAGGGGAGACUGGAAUUCCUGGUGUAGCGGUGAAAUGCGCAGAUAUCAGGAGGAACACCGGUGGCGAAGGCGGGUCUCUGGGCCGAUACUGACACUGAGAAGCGAAAGCAUGGGGAGCGAACAGG